rnacentral:rRNA from 1 species
AUUGAACGCUGGCGGCAGGCCUAACACAUGCAAGUAGAACGAGUGGCGGACGGGUGAGUAAUGUCUGGGAAACUGCCCGAUGGAGGGGGAUAAAUACUGGAAACGGUAGCUAAUACCGCAUACCAUCGGAUGUGCCCAGAUGGGAUUGGCUAGUAGGUGGGGUAAAGGCUCACCUAGGCGACGAUCCCUAGCUGGUCUGAGAGGAUGACCAGCCACACUGGAACUGAGACACGGUCCAGACUCCUACGGGAGGCAGCGUUGGGGAAUAUUGCACAAUGGGCGCAAGCCUUAUGCAGCCAUGCCGCGUGUAUGAAGAAGGCCUUCGGGUUGUAAAGUACUUUCAGCGGGGAGACGUUACCCGCAGAAGAAGCACCGGCUAACUCCGUGCCAGCAGCCGCGGUAAUAC